UACGUAGGGCGCAAGCGUUGUCCGGAAUUAUUGGGCGUAAAGAGCUCGUAGGCGGUCUGUCGCGUCUGUUGUGAAAACUCGAGGCUCAACCUCGGGCUUGCAGUGGAUACGGGCAGACUAGAGUGCGGUAGGGGAGACUGGAAUUCCUGGUGUAGCGGUGGAAUGCGCAGAUAUCAGGAGGAACACCGAUGGCGAAGGCAGGUCUCUGGGCCACUACUGACGCUGAGAAGCGAAAGCAUGGGGAGCGAACAGG
rnacentral:rRNA from 1 species